UAUAUACACACUUCAUACACCAGUUAUAAGCGUAAUAAGCCAGUUAUAGGCACUCAGUUAAAUUGGUUAUAGAUGCUUAAUAACAGUUUACAAGUCAAGAAGUGGGUUAUAGACCAGGGACAUCACUAGAGAUUCAUAGAUAGGGGGGCUAAGCCCAUUUUAGGGGGGUCUGGGCAUACUCCCCCAGGAGUUAAAGCCCCCAAAACGUCUUUUCUCAAUGUGUAUUUAGAGUAUCUAUUAAAAUAAGGUUAUUUUUGGUCAAGGUUGGCUAAAAGUAUACCUGUCUGAUAGUUUGUUUGACACUGAUCUAAUAUCCAAAUUAAGAAAUUAACGUCCACUCUGUCCCCAUCCAUCCAACACCAACAAAAGGCACAAAAAUGUCUGUACUAUGUAGCCAAAAUACUUUUGGGAUUUUAUUUUGUGUGAGAGUGAGUGAGUGAGUGAGUGAGUGAGUGAGUGAGUGAGUGAGUGAGUGAGUGAGUAGACAUGCAGGUCAUAUUAUACCAAUAUAUAUAUUUUUUUUAAAUUUAAGUUUCACCCUUUUGUUAAUUGUUGCUCAAAAUUAACCCAAUAAUUCAGACACAUGGAAGAUCCCAAACAAAUAUUACAACCUUUGUUACAAAACUGCUCCUCCAGCUUCUCUCUUUUGAUGCUUAUUUUGUGGUUGGAUGCAUCAAAGUGUACCUCCUAUUUUUAAAGGUUGCAAAUUGGUCAAUGACACUAUUGUGGCUUUAGUGACCCAAGCACUUCACCCUCAAUGGACAUGGCUGCAAGACCUGCAAGCCUUUUCUGACCCAUUGUCUUACGCAACCAGGAGUACAGCCGGCACAGUGCACUAAAUGACCUUUCACAGGAGCAGCUGCUCACAGGAACUGUGAGGGAAACCUGAAUGAUUUCCUUCAGAGAAGGAAACACAUCAUCAUCCAGGAGGUUAUGCACAGCAAGUACAUCUUUGGGAGGAUGUCCAGCCUCUCUAAUCCAGGCAACAAAGUUUCUGGCUACCAACAUCUCUUGUGUUUUAACAUCAAUUACCGUAGUGCUUGGCAAACUCAGUUCAGCAUGAUGUAUCUAGGAAGCUUUUUGAGUUGGGGCUGCAUGCCUGUAUGCCUUUGAGCAGACCUGCAUCUACAGUCGAGAAUCGCUGGUCAAGCUCACAAACCAUCCCGUCCAAGCAGGGGAGCAACAACUCUGUUUUCAUUGUUUGGGAACAUGACAAUUCUGUGCCUAAACCCAAGGAGGUCUCCACCACAAAAUCUCCCAUUUUCCUUUGUUUGCACUUUCUUGAUGGAUCUGCCUCUGGAAUAUUGUGAAUUUCCCAGAGUGCUUUGGUUCUGUCAUAAAAUUCUGUGGCAAAUGCGUCUGUGCGUUUGACUAUCAGUGUGUCACAUACAGCUUGUUUGCCGAAACGAGCUUCUGCCAGGUCUACAGUCUCUUUCUGGAGGAACUUGUCGUCCCUCAGUUACUGAAACAUCAGUGGAGAAGUGAUGAAGCUUUGCUCUCAGACCGACAGCCAUGGAUCCAAUAGUAGAUAGACAAUCAUAAAUAGCAGUUAGUGUCCACGACUGCAUUAAUGAACCGCAGCUGGCAUGCCCAGUGAGUGUUUGAGAGCUGUUCAAGUUCAGCUGAUGCUAUUCCAAGUUUGGACUGAGCUUCUUUGAACUCGUGGUGGUUAACUAGGGAUGUAUUGAAAAACGAAUACACAUUCUCCAAGAAACGGAAAAACUCAGCAGCCUCCGGAAUAGCCCUGCAAGUAUGACACAACACCAAAUUAUGCUCAUGAGCAUAGCAAUGUACAUAUACUGCCUCCGGAUGCAGCACUCUGAAAUGUGCUUGCACACCUCCUUUGGACCCACUCAUGACAGCUGCACCAUCAUAGGUCUGUGCACUUUAGGCCUGCUAACCCCAUUAUAGGUCUGUGCACUUUAGGCCUGCUAACCCCAUUAUAGGUCUGUGCACUUUAGGCCUGCUAACCCCAUUAUAGGUCUGUGCACUUUAGGCCUGCUAACCCCAUUAUAGGUCUGUGCACUUUAGGCCUGCUAACCCCAUUAUAGGUCUGUGCACUUUAGGCCUGCUAACCCCAUUAUAGGUCUGUGCACUUUAGGCCUGCUAACCCCAUUAUAGGUCUGUGCACUUUAGGCCUGCUAACCCCAUUAUAGGUCUGUGCACUUUAGGCCUGCUAACCCCAUUAUAGGUCUGUGCACUUUAGGCCUGCUACCCCCAUCAUAGGUCUGUGCACUUUAGGCCUGCUACCCCCAUCAUAGGUCUGUGCACUUUAGGCCUGCUACCCCCAUCAUGGGUCAACGCACUUUAGGCCUGCUACCCCCAUCAUAGGUCAACGCACUUUAGGCCUGCUACCCCCAUCAAAGGUCAACGCACUUUAGGCCUGCUACCCCCAUCAUAGAUCAACGCACUUUAGGCCUGCUACCCCCAUCAUAGGUCAACGCACUUUAGGCCUGCUACCCCCAUCAUAGGUCUGUGCACUUUAGGCCUGCUACCCCCAUCAUGGGUCAACGCACUUUAGGCCUGCUACCCCCAUCAAAGGUCAACACACUUUAGGCCUGCUACCCCCAUCAUAGGUCUGUGCACUUUAGGCCUGCUACCCCUGUCAUUUGGAGCUGCUGUUGCAACUCAUUUGCUUUUGAUUGGGCAUCAAAUGACUUGAUUUCUGCUAGUGCUAGUAAAGGCUCCUUAACUGUCCCCUCUGUCACAUACCUAACACACAGAGCCAUCUGUUCAGACUGCCCAUCCCUGAACACAGCAUUCGAUCAGGUCAUUCUGAGUUUCUGGAGAGAGAUACGUCACAUUUGAUGGAGUGUUGUACCUUUGCAGGAAAGGGUCAAACUUCUUCAAAAGCUCCAUACAUUCAAGAAAGUUCCCUCUAUUUGUUCUUUCACUAGAUUCAUCAUUGGCACAGAAAGAGAGUCCCUGUCUUCCUAACAUUGAGGUGACUGUAACAGAUACUCCCUUCUCUCUGCAAUCACUAACAUGGGCAGAUGUUAAAAUCUGAGCAAUGUUCCCAUGAUUGCUAGUUGCCUGGUAGCUUUGCUCUGCCACAACACUGUUUCUGUGUGUUUGUGCCAGCUCAUGUUUACCAAAGAUGGACAAAGAUUUUUUUCCCAUUUUUUCAGCCAUUACUGACAAAAUAAUCAAAUGUAAAUGGUUUUGCCAAAAACUCUACAUGGAAAGCAGAACGCUUUACUCUACACAAUUGUAUUUCUCAAACCAGCAGUGCUGAAAUGCCCUUUUCUGUGUACCAAAACUUCCGUGUGGGUAGUUAUUCAGCUUCACUUGUCUGGGCCCAGUGUCUUUGUCACCAAAAUUGCUCUAAUUUCUGGAAGGAGUUGCUGCAGCAGCUUGACUACUUCAUUUCUCUGGAUCUGUUUCUUGUCCCUCUCUCUCUGGGCAUGCUUGCCCUCUCUCUCACUUAUACAGCUCGCAUGUUGAUCUCUGCCUUGCACAGAAGCCUCUCUUUAAGAUGUCAUGAAAAUAAUGGAUUUAUGCCUAACAAAAGUAAGGCAUAUGCUUUCAUAUGCUGUAUAAAUUUAACUGAAAGCUUAAACAUCUACUGGCUUUUUUGAGUCACUAACCUUCGACAUGCUCCCUCAGCCUCCAGCUUCUUUCCCUCAUUCUUGUCUGCUGUGUUUUGACGUGUAUUGUUAUUAAACUCAUAUUCACAAUAACUCGAGGCUUAAUAGGUGAUUAAUCAGUUUAACUUUCCUUUGUUUGAACUGGUCAAACCUUCAUCUGGCCUUCGGCAGAGCUGCUGGCAUUGCCUCUCUUGAAAAAUGUCCAUAUAUCCAGCUGACAUUAGUCGUUAGCUCGCCGACACAGUUGAGAAAUGGAGGAUAAUAUAAUAACUUUGCGAUCAACACUGUCGCCUUUUCUACACAUGACCUACUGAUAAUUGUUGUGCAAUGGCCUACUGAAUGAAAGAAAUUGAGUAUAAAAAGACAUGUUCA